GACGAACCUUGCUAACGUUAUUCGGAAUUACUGGGCUUAAAGGGUGCGUAGGCGGUGCGGAAAGUCGGGUGUGAAAUCCCCCAGCUCAACUGGGGAAUUGCGCCUGAAACUGCCGUGCUCGAGGAAGACAGAGGUACGCGGAACUUAGGGUGGAGCGGUGAAAUGCGCAGAUAUCAGGAGGAACACCAAUGGCGAAGGCAGCACUCUGGGACGUGACUGACGCUGAGACGCGAAAGCGUGGGGAGCAAACAGG
rnacentral:rRNA from 1 species